AAUAGUUAAAGGCAAACUAUUUGAAAAAAUAGGACGCAAAGCCUAGGGACUAAGGUUUUAGUGAAAUAUUAACUAAACUAUGUUAGCCUGGUUACCAAA
rnacentral:ncRNA from 1 species